rnacentral:rRNA from 1 species
UCGGGAAUUUUGGGCAAUGGGGGAAACCCUGACCCAGCAACGCCGCGUGAAGGAUGAAGUAUUUCGGUAUGUAAACUUCGAAAGAAUAGGAAGAAUAAAUGACGGUACUAUUUAUAAGGUCCGGCUAACUACGUGCCAGCAGCCGCGGUAAUACGUAGGGACCAAGCGUUGUUCGGAUUUACUGGGCGUAAAGGGCGCGUAGGCGGCAUGACAAGUCACUUGUGAAAUCUCUGGGUCUUAACCCAGAACGGCCAAGUGAUACUGUCGCGCUAGAGUGCAGAAGGGGCAAUCGGAAUUCUUGGUGUAGCGGUGAAAUGCGUAGAUAUCAAGAGGAACACCUGAGGUGAAGACGGGUUGCUGGGCUGACACUGACGCUGAGGCGCGAAAGCCAGGGGAGCAAACGGGAUUAGAUACCCCCGUAGUCCCUGAGCGGGCUGGCAAGGCGCAU